rnacentral:rRNA from 1 species
AUGGCGGCGGGCGGCGUGUGGGUGUUCCGGAAGGACGGGGUGAUGGAGCUGGAGCGGGAGGCGUCGAGCCGGAAGGCGCUGGUGUACGUGCCGGCGAACGAGACGAUGCGGUCGCUGCGGGCGCUGGAGCGGCGGCUGGCGUCGCUGGGAUGGGAGCGCUACUACGAGGACCGCGCCGUCGUGCAGCUCCACCGCCGCGACGGCAGCCUCGACCUCAUCUCGCUCCCGCGAGACUUCGCGCGCUUCCGCUCCGUCCACAUGUACGACGUCGUCGUCAAGAACCGAGGCCACUUCAAGGUCGUCGACCUCUAA